UAGGGAAUAUUGCACAAUGGGCGAAAGCCUGAUGCAGCAACGCCGCGUGCGCGAUGAAGGCCUUCGGGUCGUAAAGCGCUUUUCGGGGGGAUGAGGAAGGACAGUACCCCCGGAAUAAGUCACGGCUAACUACGUGCCAGCAGCCGCGGUAAGACGUAGGUGGCGAGCGUUAUCCGGAUUUACUGGGCGUAAAGCGCGUGCAGGCGGUUCGGUAAGUCGGGCGUGAAAUCUCCUGGCUCAACUAGGAGAGGCCGUCCGAUACUACCGGACUUGAGGGCAGUAGAGGGAGGCGGAAUUCCGGGUGUAGUGGUGAAAUGCGUAGAUAUCCGGAGGAACACCGGUGGCGAAAGCGGCCUCCUGGACUGCUCCUGACGCUCAGACGCGAAAGCUAGGGGAGCGAACGGGAUUAGAUACCCCUGUAGUCC
rnacentral:rRNA from 1 species